UACGUAGGUGGCAAGCGUUGUCCGGAUUUACUGGGCGUAAAGAGCGCGCAGGCGGUCGAUUAAGUCGAGUGUGAAAGCCCCCGGCUCAACUGGGGAGGGUCACUUGAUACUGGUCGACUCGAAGGCAGGAGAGGGAAGUGGAAUUCCCGGUGUAGUGGUGAAAUGCGUAGAUAUCGGGAGGAACACCAGUGGCGAAGGCGACUUCCUGGACAGAGUCUGACGCUGAUGCGCGAAAGCUAGGGGAGCAAACAGG
rnacentral:rRNA from 1 species